UAUUCAAUCUAAUCUCUAACAUUCACUUUUUAUUCACGUAUAAUGAUGAUUCAAUCGGUUGCAGAGGCUUCUAUUGAAUGAUGAUGUAAUUGGAUUCCAAAGAUUAUAAUUUAUAACUUGUACAUAAUACAUUUGCAGAAGCUUGAAUCGCUGGAUGUGAUUAUAGAUGUGAAAAUAACCUUGUUAUCAAUUCAAUGACUUUGGCAUGGUUCUGCUAUGGAAAAAUUUUAGGACCAUUGAAAGAGUUGAAAAAGAGAGUGGAGGAGACUAUAAAAAUAUGUUGAAGAAACAAGCGUCAACUAGAGAUUUAAAGAUUACGAGACAUGUCAAUCCUUCGGAAUAUGUUGCCAAAGACAUUAAAGUGAUCAAAAACAUAAGAACAUACCAUUUCAUCUAAAAAUUUGGGCAUGAGGAGGGUGGAGGUAAUGCCGAGGCUAAAGAAAAAUAGGAAGAAAGUGGAGAUGAAUAGAAGGAAGAUUGCGAGAAAAUGGUGAAGAA